rnacentral:rRNA from 1 species
GCUGGUGGCAUGCCUAACACAUGCAAGUCGAACGUGAUCCAGGCUUCGGCCUGGUGAAAGUGGCAGACGGGCGAGUAACGCGUGGGAACCUGCCCUGUGGUAGGGAAUAACCGUGGGAAACUGCGGCUAAUACCCUAUGAGUCCUUCGGGAGAAAGAUUUAUCGCCAUAGGAGGGGCCCGCGUCGGAUUAGGUAGUUGGUGGGGUAACGGCCUACCAAGCCUUCGAUCCGUAGCUGGUCUGAGAGGAUGAUCAGCCACACUGGGACUGAGAUACGGCCCAGACUCCUACGGGAGGCAGCAGUGGGGAAUAUUGGACAAUGGGGGCAACCCUGAUCCAGCAAUGCCGCGUGGAUGAUGAAGGCCUUCGGGUUGUAAAGUCCUUUCGGCGGGGAAGAUGAUGACGGUACCCGCA